GACGAACGCUGGCGGCGUGCUUAACACAUGCAAGUCGAGCGCUGAGGCGUGGUGCUUGCACUUGGGGGGUGAGUGGCGGACGGGUGAGUAAUACGUGGGUAACCUGCCCUUGACUCUGGGAUAAGCCUGGGAAACUGGGGCUAAUACUGGAUACUACAUUUCACCGCAUGGUGGUGUGUGGAAAGGGGUUUACUGGGUUUGGAUAGGCUGACUGCCUAUCAGCUUGUUAGUUGGGUAAUGGCUCACCACGGCGACGACGGGUAGCCGGCCUGAGAGGGUGACCGGCCACACUGGGACUGCGACACGGACCAGACUCGUACGGGAGGCAGCAGUGGGGAAUAUUGCACAAUGGGCCGACGCCUGAUGCAGCGACGCCGCGUGAGGGAUGACGGCCUUCGGGUUGAAAACAUAUUUCAGCACGGCAGAAGAGAACGUGACGGUACGUGAAGAAGAAGCGCCGGCUAACUACGUG
rnacentral:rRNA from 1 species